rnacentral:sRNA from 1 species
UCUGAUAUUAACUUGUCAAAGAAUUCAUGAACUCUGCGACCAUAGUUGCUUUUUGUUGUAUAACCUUGUUAUAUGUGUAAUGAAGAAAUGAAAAAUAGUUGUAUUCAUUUACUGUAUACAUGUACAUGUAUUCAUUUGCUGGAAUUCAGAAAUUUUUCAGGGAUCUUAAAGAUAAUACAUGUAUUGAAUUUUGUUUUCAAGAAUAUAAAAUUUAUAAGAUUUGUAAGACUUUGUAAAAAUUUGAUUUUGGCUAAUUUUUCCCGGAAAUCCCACCAGAAAUUUCUGUUUUUCUAAUGGGUCUCAGCACAAUAAUCUCAUUAUAAGUAACAUGUUGCAAUUAGAAGUGACAUGUUACUUAUAGAAAUUAUUUAGAAUAUUAUUUUGGGAAUGAACAGUAAAAUGUGUAUGGUGAAAGUAAUUCAAUUAGAUUUCACUUUGAUUGUUAUGGUGAUGAGACACACAGUCAUGCAUAUAUAAAGUGCUUUUUACAUGUACAAGUGCUAGACAGUCAUUGUCAUUUUGUUUCACAUUGUUGAUCUACUUUUGGAAAAUAAAUAUUUUUUUUUCUG